CGUUUGAUCCUCAGAGGGUUUCUGCAGACAUGGAGCUUCUAGCACUUCUGUUUUUGAGCUUCUGUUUCCUGACUUUGUCCGGACUGACGUUUGGUGCUGAAUCCGGCUCACAUGUGAUUGUGAAAGAAGAUGAUGAUGCAAUUUUAAGCUGCUCCCUCAACAACAUGAACAUCAAACCAAUGCUCUUUGACUGGAGAAAAGACACAGAAAGGUUGCAGGUGUUUAUGUAUAAUAAUGGUAUUCUUCACAAUAAAGGUCCUCCAAAUCAAGACAAGCAGUUCAGCGGUCGAGUCUCACAUUUUCCAGAAGAACUGGAGCAUGGCAACGCCUCCAUAAUCAUCAGAAAGACUAAGGUGAUCGACAGUGGAAGCUACACCUGUGAAUUUCCACAUCUGCAGCCAGAAAGAAUAUUCCACAUUGAACUUAUUGUUGGUGCAUCUCCACUGCCCGUAGUCAGAAUAUUUCAUAAUGGCCGGUUGCAGUGUGAGGUCAGGAGUGCAUCUCCUGAACCUACAGUAGAGUGGUGGGACAGUGAUAACCAAAGACUUCCCUCUGAGGACCCAGUUGUUACAGAAGAAGGAGACAUCAUCCUCAAAACUACUGUGACCCGGACUGGCCUCUAUCGCUGUGUGGCUACACAGGAUAGCAUCAAACAUCAGAUUUAUACUGAGACCUUUGUGCAACUUGAAGCACAAAGAGGGAGAGAGAGGAGCAGAGAGGGAGAGAGGGGGAGAGAGGAACAGAGAGGGAGAUGGAGAAUGAGGACAGAACAGAGAUGGAACAAGGGCAGUUUCAGAUUCCACUGGAUGGGUGGUUGCUGGUGUUGUCAGUGUUGUUUUGGUCGGUGUUUUGGUCUGUGUUGCUGUUCUUAAAGCCAGAGGAUAUAAUUGUAAGAAAGAUUCACCAAGAGAAACAAGUCUCUUCUAAUUCAAGGCAGCAGCAUGAUGAUGACUCUAAACAACCUUUGGAUGAGUAAAAACUUGCAGAAAAAUUCAAUAUAAAGAUGCUGGUCCCAAGAAAUCCAACAACAACCAACCCAGGGGAAUCAUCAUUCAGUUUACAUCCAGGAUCCACCGCGAUGCUGUCUGGCGCGCUGCUAAGAAGUCCACCUACCUUAAAGGUAACAACCUAAAGCUGGCUGAGGAUCUGUCCUCUGACGAUCGCGCCCGAAGAAACAGACUCUGGCCGGCUGUGGAAGCUGCGCGCAAAGAAAACAAGCUGGCGUUCUUCGUAGGAGGUAGUGCAUUCGUGGAGGGAAAAGAGAUUUUUCCACCCCUAUAAUUUGAUCAAAGGUAUUUUGAGGUGAAAACUGAAGUAUCUUAAGAUUAACUUGGUUUCACUGCUGUUCUUUUGUUUGUUUGUUUGUUUGUGUUGUUGGACUCAUAAAACGAUCAGAGUUAAACUGAUACAGUUUAUUUGUUAUAAGUUUAUUGGUCUUGAGUUUGGCUACAAUAUUUUUGCUGUAAAUAUUAUGAGCAAGCUGAAUAAGCUUCUUUUUAUUUUUUUUAAUUCUUUUUUGAAUAAUUAGUUAUUUAAAUGGUGCGAGUAAAAUUUUAAUAAGCUCCCUUUCAAUGCCCAUAUGUGAAGCGUUUACUUAUUUUAUUUUAUUUUUACCACAUUGGUUUUAUCGUUUUAGGCUAUUGUACUCUUAUUAUUAUUCAAGUUCACAAUUUCCAUACUCAGGGGUUGCAGUUCUCAUCUUAUAUAGGACUCUCUUAAGUGACCAGGUUCCGAAUUCAACUUUUCUUCAUUUACUUGGUCUAAGCUUUUUCUUAUUUGUCACUUUUAAUUUUUGUUACUAUCCUUAUGUCUUUGUCUG